rnacentral:rRNA from 1 species
GAUUCUGGCUCAGGAUGAACGCUAGCGGCAGGCUUAACACAUGCAAGUCGAGGGGCAGCGCGAGUAGCAAUACUUGGCGGCGACCGGCGCAAGGGUGCGUAACGCGUGAGCAACAUGCCCGUAUCAGGGGGAUAAUCCAGGGAAACUUGGUCUAAUACCCCAUAGUAAUUUUGUAAGGCAUCUUAUAAGAUUUAAAGCUUUGGUGGAUACGGAUUGGCUCGCGUGACAUUAGCUGGAUGGUAAGGUAACGGCUUACCAUGGCUAUGAUGUCUAGGGGUUCUGAGAGGAAGGUCCCCCACACUGGAACUGAGACACGGUCCAGACUCCUACGGGAGGCAGCAGUGAGGAAUAUUGGACAAUGGAUGGAAAUCUGAUCCAGCCAUGCCGCGUGAAAAGGAAGAAGGUCCUAUGGAUUGUAAACUUCUUUUGUAUGGGAGCAAUAAGGCCUACGAGUAGGUUGAUGAGAGUACCAUACGAAUAAGCACCGGCUAACUCCGUGCCAGCCGCCGC